rnacentral:rRNA from 1 species
GACGAACGCUGGCGGCGUGCUUAACACAUGCAAGUCGAACGGAAAGGCCCUGCUUUUGUGGGGUGCUCGAGUGGCGAACGGGUGAGUAACACGUGAGUAACCUGCCCUUGACUUUGGGAUAACUUCAGGAAACUGGGGCUAAUACCGGAUAGGAGCUCCUGCUGCAUGGUGGGGGUUGGAAAGUUUCGGCGGUUGGGGAUGGACUCGCGGCUUAUCAGCUUGUUGGUGGGGUAGUGGCUUACCAAGGCUUUGACGGGUAGCCGGCCUGAGAGGGUGACCGGCCACAUUGGGACUGAGAUACGGCCCAGACGCCUACGGGAGGCAGCAGGGGGGAAUAUUGCACAAUGGGCGGAAGCAUGAUGCAGCAACGCCGAGUGCGGGAUGAAGGCCUUCGGGUUGUAAACAGCUUUCGCCUGUGACGAAGCGUGAGUGACGGUAAUGGGUAAAGAAGCACCGGCUAACUACGUG